rnacentral:rRNA from 1 species
UACGAAGGGGGCUAGCGUUGCUCGGAAUCACUGGGCGUAAAGCGCACGUAGGCGGACUCUUAAGUCGGUGGUGAAAUCCUGGAGCUCAACUCCAGAACUGCCUUCGAUACUGAGAGUCUUGAGUCCGGGAGAGGUGAGUGGAGCUGCGAGUGUAGAGGUGAAAUUCGUAGAUAUUCGCAAGAACACCAGUGGCGAAGGCGGCUCACUGGCCCGAUACUGACGCUGAGGCACGAAAGCGUGGGGAGCAAACAGG